AACGAACGCUGGCGGCAUGCCUAACACAUGCAAGUCGAACGAGACCUUCGGGUCUAGUGGCGCACGGGUGCGUAACGCGUGGGAACCUGCCCUUAGGUUCGGAAUAACUCCCCGAAAGGGGUGCUAAUACCGGAUAAUGUCUUCGGACCAAAGAUUUAUCGCCUUUGGUUGGGCCCGCGUUGGAUUGGCUAGUUGGUAGGGUAAAAGCCUACCAAGGCGACGAUCCAUAGCUGGUCUGAGAGGAUGAUCAGCCACACUGGGACUGAGACACGGCCCAGACUCCUACGGGAGGCAGCAGUGGGGAAUAUUGGACAAUGGGCGAAAGCCUGAUCCAGCAAUGCCGCGUGAGUGAUGAAGGCCUUAGGGUUGUAAAGCUCUUUUACCCGGGAUGAUAAUGACAGUACCGGGAGAAUAAGCUCCGGCUAACUCCGUG
rnacentral:rRNA from 1 species